CGUGCCGGCGGGCCAGGAGACGCAGUAGGACGGUGGGACCGAGGUUGAAUCGGUAUUACGGGGCGUAAAGCGUGCGCAGGCGGUGUGUUAAGCGAGAUGUGAAAGCCCUGGGCUCAACCGAGGAAUAGCAUUUCGAACUGGCGAACUAGAGACUUGUAGAGGGGGGUAGAAUUCCAGGUGUAGCGGUGAAAUGCGUAGAGAUCUGGGGGAAUACCGGUGGCGAAGGCGGCCCCCUGGACAAAGACUGACGCUCAUGCACGAAAGCGUGGGGAGCAAACAGGAUUAGAUACCCUUGUAGUC
rnacentral:rRNA from 1 species